UGAAACACUCCUCGCCUGAUGCCCUGCAACAUUAGUAAGCUCGAUGGCAGUUGAGAGUCAGGCCUUUAUUUACAUGGCUGCCUGAGACGGACGAACUCUGGGAUGCUCCACUCCACCCAUCCAUGAAGGGCCUGCUACCUACAUCCCUCUUGCUGAUGACAAGGUGAAAGGGCAGAGAGAUGCAGAGCCUCUCCCUGAGCCUAGGCUCCCUGGUCAGCUUAGCUGAAUUAAUUAAUGCACUUCUGUGGAGAAGAAAUGACUAGUUCCCUGGACACUAAAUGCCACCACUGGCUCGCAGUUUGGAGCCAUGGUGGAGUGAAUCACUGCCCUGUUCUGGCCCCGGAGCAGCAUGGCUAAUGGGAGCAGGCGCCCUCCUCUUGUGACGUGACCCCAGAGGUCAAGAGUAUCAAGAGCUAGAGACCCCAGAGCGGAAAGGAAAUCCCAGAAACUGCUACACUUGGCUCUCCCUUCCUUCAGAAAGAAACUUCAUGGUGUGAGCUGGGCACCUUCAUGCGGUCGAUUUCAGGGAUUGAGGAACCCUUACCGACCGUGGUGCUGUGGUGUGAAUCUUCAAUGCUCCCAGCUUCCUCGUGCACGAGGGGAUGGAUGUGAGGAGAGAGAUUCACAACAUCUCAAAGGGCUGAGAAUUACUGCUGGGUGCUCAGCCCUAAGUGACAUCUACACUGCAAGGUGGAGGAGACAUUGUAGGAGAGGGUUCAAAAGGAACAGAAGAGCCAGAGGGGAAGAAGCUGUGAAACGCUCUCUGCUCGACAGGACACAGGUGUUGCACUCAUGAACCCACGGCAGCUACGGUUACCUGCAUGAGUGCUUACCUGCAUGAUACCCACACAAGACCAGGCCUGCCAGCAUUCCUACCUGAAUAAGGGAGAGGCUCAGGAGGCCCCACCCCUGCCUGAGGAAACAUGAGCAAAUGGUGUCUGGGGGAGGGGAAGGCAUGUUGUUCCCUGCUGUCGCCACUGCUGAGUUACCAUUGGUGGAGUAAAUACCCCCACCCACGUUCAUGCAAGCUCAGCCUUCUAACACACGGGCCUCUAUGGAGCAUCGAAGAUCUAAACUAUAACACCAUGUUUUUAAAAAGUUAAUUCAUGGCUUCCCACUUUUAUUCCUGUCUGCUCAUUUAACCCUUAAGUGUUCUUUUGGGUGAUAAUUAAAACUUUAAAAACCAAGAAUGGUUUUUAAGCUUCACGAGAGCUUACCCAGUCUGUUUGUUUUUAUAGUCUACAAUAGUCCGAAUAUCACUUUGAUGUCAUUUCAUCCAAAUAAACCCCAGUCUGCUGAAGCCUACACACCUGCAGUUGCCCCAGUUAGGAAACUUCUGAC
rnacentral:lncRNA from 1 species